rnacentral:lncRNA from 1 species
CAGGAGGAAUUUUUCUUUUGGUACAAAUACUUUAUAUGAUUGUUUUUUACAUUUAAUUUACUCCCAAAUAUGCAUAAGUUUACAAAUUACAACCCCAUAAACGAAAAAUUGAUAACAGCAAAAGGCAUACAAGAAACUCGAGGCAGACCUGAUCUCCGUGCCCCUUGCUUGUGUCUAAACUAGGAAAUGAAUGAUCAAAUUACAAAAGAAUAUUACGACAAAAGAAUUGUUUUGUUUGGGACUGAUUAUAGAC